AAGACUAUACUUCAGGGAUCAUUUCUAUAGUUUGUUACUAGAGAAGUUUCUCUGAACGUGCAGAGCAUUGAACUCUCAAUAAACUAGG
ensembl:snoRNA U3 Small nucleolar RNA U3